rnacentral:rRNA from 1 species
AUGAACAUGUGCGAGAAAGAUCAAAAUUUCCACUGGGCCUACGACCUUUUCCAUGACCCCUUUGCCGCUCCCAACAGCUACUAUGGACAUCCUAAUGGUUACAGUGACAACAGCUAUUGUGACUACAAUUAUGCUAGAGAUGCAUCACAUCCCGAUGAGACAUAUUUGCAUUCUUCCGCACUUACGUGUGAUAUGUACAACCCACAAGUAGGCAUGUACCAUCCUGGAAAUGUUGGUGGGCAGGAGCAUGAGGCAGUCUAUGUAGAUCCGUCUAGUUCCUCUUCAUACCCUGGCAGCGACGACUGUUAUGAAAUGGAGGAAGAAGUAGGAAAGAGAUUUUACCCCAUGGUCCCAGUUCCCCAUGUCCCUAAAAUUAAUGGUGAAAUUCCAUCACUCGACGAAGCCACCAUGGACCAUGAAAGGCUGUCAGACAGGUUGAGGCUGUAUGAACUAACUGAGAACAAGGUGAAAGGUGAUGGCAAUUGUCAGUUCCGUGCACUAUCAGAUCAGCUGUACCAAACUCCGGACCACCAUGAGUUUGUGAGGGAGCAGAUAAUUAGCCAGCUUAAAAGUAACCGGGAAGCCUAUGAUGGAUACGUCCCCAUGGCAUAUGAUGAGUAUCUGGAGAAAGUAUCGCGAAAUGGUGAAUGGGGUGACCAUGUGACUUUACAGGCUGCUGCUGACAAGUACGGAGUGAAGAUUUUCGUCAUGACCUCAUUCAAGGAUACGUGCUACAUCGAGAUCCAACCCAAGGUUCAGAAGUCCAACAAAGUGGUGUUGUUGAGCUUUUGGGCGGAGGUUCACUACAACUCGAUAUUUCCACAGAACGACGCUCCGAGGUUGCAUCACACGGCGAAGAAGAGGAGAUGGUGGCCGUUCUCGCAGCACCACCAUUGA